rnacentral:lncRNA from 1 species
GCACAGAUUUUAUUUAAAAACGUCACCAGCAUAACCAACAUGGUUAAUCUCACAAGGCACCCUGAAGAUGAGAAGCGCUACCAUUAUUCUAGUAUUAAUAGCAUUACAAAUUUUUAAAAAAUUUCAACAUGAAGCAAUUCCAUGGCCCAUUAUAAUUUUUGGCACAAUUAUUACUUACUAUAUUUUCCUGAUACGUUGCACCCAAUUUUACUAAGAUUUGAGGACUCUUGUCAUUAGUGUCAUGGGGUUUAGCAGCUGAAGAAAAUUAACUCUGUAAGGGAAAAGUAGCUUACUGCCUCCUCCAGAAGGUUUUAGAAAAAUAAAUGCUAAUGUGUACAUUCUAAUGAAGAGGUCAUGUUUAAUAAACCCCAAGGGGAAAAAAUGCAUGAUACUCCAGGCUACAGUCAUCAGAAGCAGGAAAUACUAUGUAUACACAUAUGAAGCAAUGGACAAUGUACGGACAGAACCAGGUUUCCUGAAGCUGAGUUCAAUACUGACCAUAAGUCAUCCUAAAUCAGCAGAAGUUUCAGAAUUCAUACUUAUUUCAUCCAAAAUGCGAGAGGAGCAUUAGCUUGUGUGCCAGUUCUGGGCUGUGGAACAUCCUUGCUACAUCCUUCACUCCUCGGAGCUACUCUUUCUGCAUGGUCACAUGGCUUUAAAGAGCAUCGAGAAGCAACGGUUCCAGUCCUCCUUUGUUUAAGAAUGUGAAAGUCAAGCAAGUCAAAGCUUCCUUGGCUGCGACAGUUACCUGCAGAGACUUGUCAUCACUCACUACACUGUCC